CGCGUUGGAGCACAGUUGUUGGUUCGGCAGGUACCUGUUACAGUACCUCUUACGAUGUGUGAGGGUUCGAUACUGUGCCGUUGCCGAGUAUGUGCGAUGUGGUUUGAAGGUAGAGACAAGAAAUGAAACGGUGAGAAAAAAAACAUUCAAGGUGGCCACUCGAAUUAGUCGCUAAACGAUACUCACCGCGAACGGUUCUGACUCCGGUUUACAGCAGCGAAGAGUUUAAUUUGUUUGUCAGUUAGUACCUAAAAAGUGUCACGUUGGAUACGGGAGAAUCUUAACUUGUUUGAGCUUGUUUUAGUUCAAGCUGCGCUUGAUUUUAGCGCAAGUGAAUCAGUUAAAUCAGUUAAGUGAUUAACGUACACAGGCGGAGCGAAGUAGAAACGAAGCAGAACUGAUACUUACUUCUGAUAAACGAGACCGGAGAUCCCAGGACGUGGAGACGCAACACUUCGUAUACGGGCUGAUUGCUUAUCACAAACCGCGAUAACGAUUGCGGCGUAGCGUUGUUUCGAAAGUGUGGAAGAAAGAUAUCAUUGAAAAGGAUGCGAGAAUACGUGGAGGAGAACGAAAAGAAUGACCCGCUGAUCCACGCACCUGACAAGAAGAACAACCCAUGGGCAGAGAAGGGCAAAUGUGUCAUCAUAUAAAGAAACAAAAAUUGCCCCCAUCCUGCACAGUGGUAUCCGAUUUUAUACACGACAUCAUUGCAAAACUAUCAGCCACAAUCAAAGGCAACUUGCGGAAAUAGUAUGGAGCAUGAUCCUGGAGAAGAUUUCUGAUACGAGGAUGGCGGUGGCGAUCGGAAAAAUAUGUGAUUUUCAUAUUCCAUUUGAUUUUAGUUUUAGCAGAAACGUUGGUUUUGUUUCAAAGUGAUCCGGCUAGCAGGACGUGGAGACCGAAAACAAGCCGCGCAAGUUAACAGAAAAAAUAUGAAUGUGAAUCUUGUUUAAGCUCCAAUGCUUUAGAGGUUAUGGCGAUCUACUCAAUUUGAAUUUGUACGCGAACGCAUACACUGCCUUCAAUGGAGAAAAAGAAGUUAGAUGGCAUGGACAUUCCGGAUCGAGAAUUGAACGAUUGGCUGUAACACGUUUAAGCUCCCAACAGCUCUCCCGUUGUGAAAAUCCUUCCUCGCUUUAUCUUUUGAGAUUAAGAUUAAAUUAAAUAAGGCCAACCUUAGCAUAGCAAAAGAAUAAGUUUCUUUCCAUUGUUUUCCAAAAUCGAAACUGUGCAAACCGAUCGUGUUCCAAAUGCUUUUUUGUGUGUGUACGCAUUCCAAAAUCGAAUCAACAGUAUUUCGAAACCAAAUAAGAUUUACAAAGCUUUCAGUUAGCAACGGAUGCAAUAGAAUCCACCUUUUGUUAGAAUCCUUCUAGUCCUUAGGUAAUUUUUCACGAACAGUUUAUAUAAAACAAUGAAUGUAUCCUUAUUUAGCACACACCAUUUAUACUACUGGUAAGAUAGCUAAUUGCUAAAACAAACAAUCAUGUGACCAAAUAUAAUUACGCUAAGGAAGGCAAAAAUCAGAUAAAUUACUUAAAAAAUGUUGCACAGAAAAUAAUAUAUUCGUAGCAUUCACUCAUCUCUAAAGCUCAUCUAUAAGCUAACAUUUUUAUUCUGCAAGCGUUCGUAUUAAAAAACGAAAAAAAAAAUUGCUAAUCGGACUUUGAUUCAUAGAAACGAAAUCGAAAAAAUAGUAAAUGAGAACUAAUAACGGUAAAGUAUCAUAAAUGAGGAUAUAAUUUGAAGCUCUAAAUUUUUCGUUUGUACGCAAGACAUUGAACACAAGUCACCGCUAACAAAUGGUUCGUGUCACAGCUGGAAGUCUAUUUAUCCUUGAGAAAGUUUCUGACCUGAUGUUUGUAGAAUACGUUAGGCGAACUUGCACAAUUUCACGUAUUAAAAUAGAAAAAUGACUACUUCACACCGAAAAAUUAAUAGUCCUUCUUCUUAUGACAAUUUUUAUGUUCAUCAAAUAGUCACGCUUCAGUUGAAGAGCUUCAACUUAGAUCCCAGACAUUGCGACGACGGAUUAUUAUCAAAAGCUUAAAUUUCAAUAGUUUGGUUGUUGUUUCAUUACUGACUUGAAAAAAUCAUAAAAGUGUUCAUAUUAGAGUAUGUACAAGCUGCGUUGAAUGUUUCUUACCCUUGUGGUAAGCAAGGACAAAACAAUGAGAAAAAAUAAAAUCAAGUGAUUAAAAAAUACAUUUUCCAGCAUCAUUAAACUAAACUUUGGAUGAGAACAUAUUCUCAAAAACAGAAAACAAAUACUUAACAGAUAAAAAAUACGCGAGAUGUAAGCUCUCGAAAAAAUCCGAUACUGCCGCGUUUCAAUUGGCAAAAAGUACUUAAAUAAAAUUACAGAAAGAUAAAAUAAAGAGUUGACGAAUGUGUCGGCUAGUUUUCAACGAAUCGAAAGAAAGUGUCACAUUUUGCAGCGGUUGAUAUUGACAUGUUUUUGGUGGUCGAAAUCGGAACGCAAUGGUACCGACGUACAACAGAGAGACAAAAAAACACAAAAACGAACAAAUCAUUAACAAUUUACAUUACAGUGAUGAAUGAAGAUAGUAAUAAAAAUUACUGAAACU